UUAGGGGAGCCGUAGGGAAACCGAGUCUUAAUAGGGCGUUUAGUUGCAGGCAAUAGACCCGAAACCGGGUGAUCUAUCCAUGGCCAGGCUGAAGGUGCCGUAACAGGUACUGGAGGGCCGAACCCACUGCUGUUGCAAAAGCAGGGGAUGAGCUGUGGAUAGGGGUGAAAGGCUAAACAAACCUGGAAAUAGCUGGUUCUCUCCGAAAACUAUUUAGGUAGUGCCUCGUAUAUCAUUCUCGGGGGUAGAGCACUGUUAUGGCUAGGGGGUCAUCCCGACUUACCAAACCAUUGCAAACUCCGAAUACCUGGAAGUGCAAUCAUGGCAGACACACUGCGGGUGAUAAGGUCCGUAGUGGAAAGGGAAACAGCCCAGACCGCCAGCUAAGGUCCCUAAAUCACGUGCUAAGUGGGAAAGGAUGUGGGACGGCCAUGACAACCAGGAGGUUGGCUUAGAAGCAGCCACCCUUUAAAGAGUGCGUAAUAGCUCACUGGUCAAGUGAUUCCGCGCCGACAAUGUAGCGGGGCUCAAGUCAUCCGCCGAAGCUAUGGCAUUCAGC
rnacentral:rRNA from 1 species